AAUAAUGAUGAUGAUGAUGAUGAUGAUGAUGAUGAUGAUGAUGAUGAUGAUUAUAAUAAUAAUAAUAAUAAUAAAUUUUUUCUGCUCACAGGUACCCUCUGAGACGAGGCAGCUCCUUCACAUUCCUGACUCCAGGCCCACACUGGGAUUUCACCCUGAAAAGGAAGCGCCGAGAGAAGGACGACGACGCCGUCAGCCUGAACAGCCUCGACUUUAAGGUUUUUUGAAGGAAUCGGAUCCAGGCACGCUCCAGGAUCUGGGAAAACCGGGAAAAUUGGGAAAACUUCCUGCUGAAGGAAUAGCCGACUCCCUCCAGGCUCUGCAGUGCCCCAGCUCCAAUCUCCUCCUCUCUAGCCAGAGGCAGAACUGAGAUCUUGGAUUCCUGGCUUUUGGAUUAGGGAUGGAACAGAGC
rnacentral:lncRNA from 1 species